rnacentral:rRNA from 1 species
UGGGGAAUUUUGCGCAAUGGGGGAAACCCUGACGCAGCAACGCCGCGUGCGGGAUGACGGCCUUCGGGUUGUAAACCGCUUUCAGCAGGGAAGAUUAUGACGGUACCUGCAGAAGAAGCCCCGGCUAACUACGUGCCAGCAGCCGCGGUAAUACGUAGGGGGCAAGCGUUAUCCGGAUUCAUUGGGCGUAAAGAGCGCGUAGGCGGACGUUUAAGCAGAAUCUCUAAUCUGAGGGCUCAACCCCCAGCCGGAUUCUGAACUGGAUGUCUCGAGUUUGGUAGAGGAAGAUGGAAUUCCCGGUGUAGCGGUGGAAUGCGCAGAUAUCGGGAAGAACACCGAUGGCGAAGGCAGUCUUCUGGGCCAUAACUGACGCUGAGGCGCGAAAGCUAGGGGAGCAAACAGG